UGGUCAGGUUGAAGUACAGGUAACACUGAAUGGAGGACCGAACCGACUUACGUUGAAAAGUGAGCGGAUGAACUGAGGGUAGCGGAGAAAUUCCAAUCGAACUUGGAGAUAGCUGGUUCUCUCCGAAAUAGCUUUAGGGCUAGCCUCAAGUGAUGAUUAUUGGAGGUAGAGCACUGUUUGGACGAGGGGCCCCUCUCGGGUUACCGAAUUCAGACAAACUCCGAAUGCCAAUUAAUUUAACUUGGGAGUCAGAACAUGGGUGAUAAGGUCCGUGUUCGAAAGGGAAACAGCCCAGACCACCAGCUAAGGUCCCAAAAUAUAUGUUAAGUGGAAAAGGAUGUGGCGUUGCCCAGACAACUAGGAUGUUGGCUUAGAAGCAGCCAUCAUUUAAAGAGUGCGUAAUAGCUCACUAGUCGAGUGACACUGCGCCGAAAAUGUACCGGGGCUAAACAUAUUACCGAAGCUGUGGAUUGUCCUUUGGACAAUGGUAGGAGAGCGUUCUAAGGGCGUCGAAGCAUGAUCGCAAGGACAUGUGGAGCGCUUAGAAGUGAGAAUGCCGGUGUGAGUAG
rnacentral:rRNA from 1 species